CAGCUGAUCCAGGUCUCAGGCCAGGUCCAUCCCUAUUCCCUCUGAGGAGGCCACAUCCGGUGGAGACCAUCCACUUUGUCCGGGGGUCGACGCUCAUCAAGGUGUGUGUGAGAAGGACAAGCAUCAUUUCUACAGCCACAUCACCCAGCCAAACAGACACCAGGAGGAGAGCCCAAAGGACGCGGUUCCAUGGAGACACAGAGUCCCACAAUAAGAGUGUUAGGCUGGGCUCCUUCUCAGCUGUGCUGGACAGCGGCAUCCACCUCUCCUACAGUCACUUCGGCCCAACAGGGGAGCAGGGUGAGAUGAGGCUGGUCAGGACUCUGAUCUGGACAUGCCCACAGACUCCAGUCUCUCCCCCGUCCCCUCGACCUCCUCUCCUCCUCAUUGUCCCGGAAGAAACUCAACUCUCCCACAGCGCCAAGGGGGGAGCAGCCGUCCAAAGAGACCAACACGUCUCCAACACACAGAGAGGAAGAGGAGCAGACCAGAGAGUGUGUGGGUCAGGCUGCAUUAGCUGGCAGUGCUCCGUUCCAGAGACUAAACGUCUCCACCCCCAGUGGUCUCUGCUGCAGUUCCUCAGUGAUGAUACAGACGGCAGUACUCCAGAGGGUCAGUGUCUGUUGGUGAGACAGAGUUUCCCCUACACUGCAGUGACAGUAGGGAGCCUCACCUCACAGACCCAUCGUUACACAAUGAGCUGUCUAGGGUCAUCACUGGUCAGGGCACCGUGGUCAAGUACAUGAGAGACGGAUCAACACAGGUGCUGUUGCAGACGGGUCAGUCAGUAGCAGUACAGAGUCAGGACCCAUCAUCUCAUCUCCUCCUGAAGCCCUGCUAAGGAGGAAGAGGUAGUGAAGAGACUCCGAUACCAGAGAGAAAAGACAGCAAGGACAAGAAGGGUAAGCUGGGUUCCAAGCAGAGCCUGGGGGCUGACCAGAGUCAGAGUGACCCAGAGCCCAGGGAGGAGCAGAGGUCGUCAGGCCAGACCCAGGGCAGACAGGGGGUCUGUUGGGUCACCACCAGUCCCUCCGGACACAGAGUAGCCACCAUGGGGGACCAGACCACAGACCCUGGCCCGGUCUUGUCCUUCAGAGCCACAGACCCUGUCAGCCAAACUGUUGUGAUCACGCGGGAGGACAAGGUGAUGUCUGUGCUGGACAGAGACGGGACGAUGAUCGUCGACCAUGCAGACGGAACCAGGAUCACUACCCUGUACCAGGAGAGAGAGGCUCUCAGUGGCUGGUCCCAGGAACACAUUCACACAGGGGAGAGGUCCAGCAGCAGUGUGUGU